UGAGCAAGUAAUUUUUCCUGGGUGGACGGAAAUCUAAAGUCUGUUUUCUAACACUCUUACAGACACUUCUCUGUCCAUCGGCCUGUCCUGCCAACUCUGGUGUGAGUGUGAAGUUGUGGCAAGAGGGGUUUCCCGUUCCUAUUUGACCUGGUGGACACCAGCUUUCCUAGGAAAUUGCUGAUGUUGCUGAGGAGGCAGCAGUAUCAAAGCCCUCGAUUCUGAAAGCAGCAAAGCAAGCUAGAGGAAAACGGUAUGUCCGGAUAAUUUUCUUUCUUUUUAUUUUUUUCAUUCUUCACUUGUAAGAAAAUCUAAGUCUUUAAACCAUUUGUUUGAAAACACAGCUUUAUGGAAAUGCGUGUGGGUGUGCUCCUUCCCCUUGUUUGGAACCUGCUUCACCUCGCUUCAGCUAGAGGACACCUAUGCUCGAAUUUAUGCUUCCCAUGAGAAAGCGGCGUUCUUUCGCCGUUCUCUUCUGUGAUGGUUGCAGGUGAGGUUGAAAAGAGUUGUCAGUACGAUUCUUCGUUUCCUUUGCAGUAUCCAAAACUCCGUAUCACAGCGGAUCUUCUCCUCUGAUCUGAAAAGCUUCACAGGCCAAAAGAGAAUUGAGAUGAAGAAGGAAAUAGAGAAUGCUGACCAGUAUUUCCAAUUACCACCCCAACUUCUGUCUUGGCUCUUCACAUCCAGCCAGAGCAGUUUCUUUGCCUCCGCAACCUGCAGGCUGUCCUCUCGUGUGUACCUGUGGUGGACUGAGGGUAAUGCUUGUAACGCACACGGAUGCUGUAUUCACUAGCACUUUGAGAAAAGAGAGCAAGAAGCUAACCUGCGCAGCAGUUUCUUAGGUUUCUGGAUAUCUAUCUAUCUAUCUCUCUGCGCAUAUAUUUCAUUACUUAUUUACUUAUUUAAAGAUCCUUUACAUAUAGUAGAUCCUUUAAGAAAGCUUACUUGUCCUUCUCCUUUACUUGUUUUGAACGUUUACUUUUCUAACCAAUCCUUAAUGUUACAACAUUGGAUUUAUUUAGUUCUCAGUCCUCAGAAGUUCUCAAAGCACAUCAGUGAUUUCUCUAGUUCUCAAUCUUUCCAUCUGCAUUGAGACCUCUUAUCUCAAUUUAGGUAUUAGGUGAAGAAGAACACUGCAACCAGCUGAAGCCGUAUCAGCAUAGAUGCUUCUGUGCUAGGAAGUAAUUCAGAGUGCUUCCAUGGUGUAC
rnacentral:lncRNA from 1 species